rnacentral:lncRNA from 10 species
UUCUAAGAACUGAUAGAUUUUUAGUUCCUAAUCUUGGUUAUUAGUACAAUGGCAUUAAUUUAAUCAUUAUUCUCUAAAAAGCUGUACAGUAAAAAAAAUUUGUAUGUAGAAUAUAUUCUGCAGUAAAAUUUUAAGGACAUUUUCAAUCUAAAUGUAACUGUGAUAACUCCUUCAACAUACACAGUAUGAUAUAUAGAACAUGAAGCUGAUAUUCUGAGGGGAGGGUGAGGAUGACUUAAAUCUAGGAGCUCUGGUAAGUAGAAGAGUUUAACCUGAUUCUGAAAUAGGAUGACUUUAAUGAAAGAAGAUGUGAUCUUGAGGAGAAUAAUAGCAACUAAUGGGCUAAUCAGCUCAGGUCCUUGCUAAGUGACUGGUUUCUUGCUCUGCUCUGCCAUCAGAAGACCCAAAUUUAUCCUCGAAGAGAGUAAAAAUUCCCAAAUGCCUCAGACCUUCACGGACUAAGCCAUGAAUGCUUACUAUGAGCAUGCCAAUGGUCUGCUUCCUGAGUGUCGCAUCAUUUAGUCUUUGAGAACAGGACAUAUACAUUUCUUUGAUCUACUGACAACACCUAGCGAAGUAC